AACGAACGCUGGCGGCAUGCCUAACACAUGCAAGUCGAACGAGACCUUCGGGUCUAGUGGCGCACGGGUGUGUAACGCGUGGGAACCUGCCCUUAGGUUCGGAAUAACUCCCCGAAAGGGGUGCUAAUACCGGAUAAUGUCUUCGGACCAAAGAUUUAUCGCCUUUGGAUGGGCCCGCGUUGGAUUAGCUAGUUGGUAGGGUAAAAGCCUACCAAGGCGACGAUCCAUAGCUGGUCUGAGAGGAUGAUCAGCCACACUGGGACUGAGACACGGCCCAGACUCCUACGGGAGGCAGCAGUGGGGAAUAUUGGACAAUGGGCGAAAGCCUGAUCCAGCAAUGCCGCGUGAGUGAUGAAGGCCUUAGGGUUGUAAAGCUCUUUUACCCGGGAUGAUAAUGACAGUACCGGGAGAAUAAGCUCCGGCUAACUCCGUG
rnacentral:rRNA from 1 species